rnacentral:lncRNA from 1 species
ACCUAUAUAUAAGUCCUUCCCCCUGUAGAUUGUUGAUAUCUAAACUGUAAUUCUUUGGGCCUGAAAUAUAUUAUGUUGGUGCCAUUUUGGUUCUUAAAUUUUGAGUGACAAACUAUUUGAACAAUGUGAUAUAUUAGUAAAAACAAUAGCAAUGACAAAAUAUGAUGCUUUGAAGUCUAAAUUCGCAAUUUGUUCCAUGGAAUAGCAAACUAAGUGUUUAUCUCAGUACUUGUUGAGUGCUUCACAUUUCCUCAUGCAGGUCAGAAUUCACAGGAAUUAUCUUGACAUGUGAUCUCGUUUGCUUGAAAGUAGAUUCAAAUGCUGUUUUGUUAUUUUCUUUCUUAUCAAGCUUUCACAAUUUCAUGCUUCCACAUUUUUACAGGCGUUUGGAAACUGUUGUGUUGCAAUUUGGUGUUCUUAAUUUUGUCGGUUUAAGGGUACUUAGCAUCGUUUCUGCCUGUAGUUUUUUUUAGUACUUGAUGGACAAUGAUAUUUUCCAUCUUUUCACCACAAGAAUACGCUGCAAUCUUCAUGUAAUGUAUAUUGCUGAUCCCUUAC